rnacentral:sRNA from 19 species
AGCCUAAACCAAUUAAGUAAUUAAUGGCAUGGUGAAGCAAGUCCCCGUAAAAGAUAAAGAACUCCUAGUCAGAGUUUGCCUUUUACGGGGCUGUAUCUGGAAACGGAUACAGGUGGGUUAAAAUCCACC